rnacentral:pre_miRNA from 1 species
CGAGGGGCGGGGGGCAUCCCUCAGCCGGGAUUGCGAGAGGGCGCAGGCCAGGCCCAGGGACCCCACUGGUGCAUG